CGGACGGGUGAGUAACGCGUGGAUAACCUGCCGUAUACUGGGGGAUAACACUUAGAAAUAGGUGCUAAUACCGCAUAAGCGCACAGCUUCGCAUGAAGUGGUGUGAAAAACUCCGGUGGUAUACGAUGGUUCCGCGUCUGAUUAGCUUGUUGGUGGGGUAAUGGCUCACCAAGGCGACGAUCAGUAGCCGGCCUGAGAGGGUGAACGGCCACAUUGGGACUGAGACACGGCCCAAACUCCUACGGAAGGCAGCAG
rnacentral:rRNA from 1 species